GAUGAACGCUGACAGAAUGCUUAACACAUGCAAGUCGAUGGGGAAGUGGUGCUUGCACCAUGGUAACCAUGGCGGACGGGUGAGUAACGCGUAAGGAACUUGCCUGCGGGACCGGGAUAACAGCAGGAAACUGCUGACAAGACCGGAUAAGGUCAUUAAGCCGCAUAGCUUAGUGAUGAAAGGAGACGCCUGCGGAGAGCCUUGCGUCCUAUUAGCUAGUUGGAGGGGUAACGGCCCACCAAGGCGAAGAUAGGUAGCCGGCCUGAGAGGGUGGACGGCCACAAGGGGACUGAGAUACGGCCCUUACUCCUACGGGAGGCAGCAGUGGGGAAUAUUGGACAAUGGGGGCAACCCUGAUCCAGCAAUUCUGUGUGCACGAAGACGGUUUUCGGAUUGUAAAGUGCUUUCAGCAGGGAAGAAGGAAGUGACGGUACCUGCAGAAGAAGCGACGGCUAAAUACGUGCCAGCAGCCGCGGUAAUACGUAUGUCGCGAGCGUUAUCCGGAAUUAUUGGGCAUAAAGGGCAUCUAGGCGGCCUUUCAAGUCAGGGGUGAAAACCUGCGGCUCAACCGCAGGCCUGCCUUUGAAACUGAUAGGCUGGAGUACCGGAGAGGUGGACGGAACUGCACGAGUAGAGGUGAAAUUCGUAGAUAUGUGCAGGAAUGCCGAUGAUGAAGAUAGUUCACUGGACGGUAACUGACGCUGAAGUGCGAAAGCCGGGGGAGCAAACAGG
rnacentral:rRNA from 1 species